UCCAGACUCCUACGGGAGGCAGCAGUGGGGAAUAUUGCACAAUGGGGGGAACCCUGAUGCAGCGACGCCGCGUGAGUGAAGAAGUAUUUCGGUAUGUAAAGCUCUGUCAGCAGGGAAGAAGAAAGACGGUACCUGACCAAGAAGCCCCGGCUAACUACGUGCCAGCAGCCGCGGUAAUACGUAGGGGGCAAGCGUUAUCCGGAUUUACUGGGUGUAAAGGGAGCGUAGACGGCAGGGCAAGUCUGGAGUGAAAGGCAGGGGCCCAACCCCUGGACUGCUCUGGAAACUGUGCAGCUAGAGUGCAGGAGAGGCAGGCGGAAUUCCUAGUGUAGCGGUGAAAUGCGUAGAUAUUAGGAGGAACACCGGUGGCGAAGGCGGCCUGCUGGACUGUAACUGACGUUGAGGCUCGAAGGCGUGGGGAGCAAACAGGAUUAGAUACCCCGGUA
rnacentral:rRNA from 1 species